AUUGAACGCUGGCGGCAGGCCUAACACAUGCAAGUCGAACGAGUGGCGGACGGGUGAGUAAUGUCUGGGAAACUGCCUGAUGGAGGGGGAUAACUACUGGAAACGGUAGCUAAUACCGCAUACCAUCAGAUGUGCCCAGAUGGGAUUAGCUAGUUGGUGGGGUAACGGCUCACCAAGGCGACGAGCCCUAGCUGGUCUGCGAGGAUGACCAGCCAAACGGGAAACGAGACACGGGCCAUACUCCUACGGGAGGCAGCAGCGGGGAAUAUUGCACAAUGGGCGAAAGCCUGAUGCAGCCAUGCCGCGUGUAUGAAGAAGGCCGUCGGGUUGUAAAGUACUUUCAGCGGGGAGGCGUAACCCGCAGAAGAAGCACCGGCUAACUCCGUGCGAGCAGCCGCGGUAAUUC
rnacentral:rRNA from 1 species